AACGAACGCUGGCGGCGCGUCUUAAACAUGCAAGUCGAACGGCAGGAAGGGGCUUGCCCCUUCUGAGAGGGGCGGACUGGUGAGUAACACGUGGGUGACAUACCUUUUAGUUGGGGAUAGCUAUUAGAAAUAGUAGGUAAUACCGAAUGUGACCGUACCGGUUAGAGGGGUACGAGGAAAGGAGCUAAGGCUUCGCUAAAAGAAUGGCUCGUGGCCCAUUAUGCUCGUUGGUGGGGUAACGGCCCACCAAGGCGAUGAUGGGUAUCCGGCCUGAGAGGGUGAACGGACACAUUGGGACUGAGACACGGCCCAGACUGCUACGGGAGGCAGCAGUUAAGAAUAUUCCGCAAUGGACGAAAGUCUGACGGAGCGACGCCGCGUGGAUGAAGAAUGCCGAAAGGUUGUAAAAUCCUUUUAAGCCUGAUGAAUAAGCACAGUAGGGAAUGAUUGUGCGGUGACCGUAGGGCUUGAAUAAGCACCGGCUAAGUACGUG
rnacentral:rRNA from 1 species